rnacentral:misc_RNA from 1 species
CUUCUGGCGAUCUCUUAAAAUAAAGCCUAGCCUGCUUUACAAAAAAAACGGGCGUUUAGAUACUCUUUAAAUUCUUAUGAACCUUAAAGAGUAUCCAUCAAAAAAGGCUUUAUGAAGAAAGCAUUUUAAGCUUUUCCAGUGAUUUAAGAUGAUACCGGGGAAGGUUUUCCGGUUUAUCCCGGAGGGCUUGUAGCUCAGUUGGUUAGAGCGCGCGCUUGAUAAGCGUGAGGUCGGAGGUUCAAGUCCUCCCAGGCCCACCAGUUUAUGCUCGUUUUUUGGUUAUUCUUGAGCGUUAUGAAGCUUAAGCUUAUCAAAGCCUCUUUAAUCUUUGUUCAUCGUUUAAAGAUUUUAUUUUAUCCUUCAAAAAUUGUUUGUUAAAUUUAUCAUAACAGGUGCCUUGUCAAAAAAGGAUUAUAAGUUGCCUUCAAGAGGAUAGACAAAUCUAAAGGAUAAAAGCAGGAAAAAUCAAUACAAGUAGAAAUAAUAUUGAUGGAAAAAAUAGUAUUGAUUAAAAGAGGACAAGUCACUCAAGAAGAUAAAUUAUAUAGAGGUUAGGAUAGAGAGCAUUCGUUAGGGGCCGUAGCU